GACAAGUGUCACCUGCCUCCUGAGUGGCAUGUGCCACCCUGGGCAGUGGCGCUGAGCAUUUAUGAAGCCUGACACUCUACCACUUUGAGCCUGAGGGGAAGCUGUGAGGACUCAGCAUGUCAGAGAGACUGCACGUAUGGGAGAAUGCACGCACGGGAGCCGGAGGGACGCAGAGGAACCAGUGUGAGGCACCAGGGAAGACACACCGCAGGCUUGCCUCCUCAGUGCUCCCAGAGGUUGACCAUGGACUCAUACUUCUGCAUUCUGGUGACCAACUGACUCCACCUGGACCCGUGAUUCCUGACUCAACAGGUCCUGUGGCCCCCACCCAGAAGUUGACUUAGCACAUGAGGACCAUUUUCCACAUCCCUAUGACUUCAUCCCCAGUCAGCAUCAUCCAUUCCCUAGCCCCCUGCCUGACAAUUUAUCCAUAAAAACUCUAGCCUCUGAAUUCUCAGGGAGGUUGAUUUGAGUAAUAAACUCCAUCUUCCAAUUGGCUAGCCCUGUGUUAAUUAAACUCUUUUUUAAAUUAUUU
rnacentral:lncRNA from 10 species